rnacentral:rRNA from 1 species
AUUGAACGCUGGCGGCAGGCCUAACACAUGCAAGUCGAGCGGAGCGGCGGACGGGUGAGUCAUUCCUAGGUAUCUGCCUGGUCGUGGGGGAUAACGUCCGGCAACGGGCGUUAAUAUCACAUCCUAUCAGAUGAGCCUAGUUCGUAUUAGCUAUUUGGUGGGGUUAAGGCCUACCUAGGCGACGAUCCGUAAACGGUCUGAGAGGAUGAUCAGUCAAACUGGAACUGGGACACGGACCAGACGCCUACGGUAGGCAGCAGUGGAGAAUAGUGGGCAAUGGGCGAAAGCCUGAUCCAGCGAUGCCGCGUGUGUGAAUAAGGUCUUCAGAUUGUCAAGCACGUUAAGGUGGGCGGCGUUACCAACAGAAUAAGCACCGGCUAACUUCGUGCCAGCAGCCGCGGUAAUAC